GGAGUCUGGUCCGUGUCUCAGUACCAGUGUGGGGGACCUUCCUCUCAGAACCCCUACGCAUCGUCGCCUUGGCGGGCCGUUACCCCGCCAACUAGCUAAUGCGCCGCAUGCCCAUCCAUCGACAGAGUCGCCUCCUUUCACCUCCAAAUCAUGCGAUCCAAAGGCGUACGGGGUAUUAGGCCGCGUUUCCACGGGUUAUCCCCCUCCGAUGGGCAGGUUGCAUACGUGUUACUCACCCGUGCGCCGGUCGCCAUCACAGAUAGCAAGCUACCUGCAUGCUGCCCCUCGACUUGCAUGUGUUAAGCCUGUAGCUAGCGUUCAUC
rnacentral:rRNA from 1 species